rnacentral:rRNA from 1 species
UACGGGGGGAGCAAGCGUUGUUCGGAUUUACUGGGCGUAAAGGGCGCGUAGGCGGCCACCGCAAGUCGACUGUGAAAUCUCCGGGCUUAACCCGGAAAGGUCAGCCGAUACUGCGGGGCUAGAGUGCAGAAGGGGCAACUGGAAUUCUCGGUGUAGCGGUGGAAUGCGUAGAUAUCGAGAGGAACACCUGCGGCGAAGGCGGGUUGCUGGGCUGACACUGACGCUGAGGCGCGAAAGCUAGGGGAGCGAACGGG